rnacentral:rRNA from 1 species
UACGGAGGGUGCGAGCGUUUGUCCGGAAUCACUGGGCGUAAAGGGCGCGUAGGUGGCGCGGGCAGUCAACGGUGAAAGUUCGGGGCUCAACCCUGAAUCGGCCGUCGAUACUCCCGGGCUGGAGCACUGUAGAGGCUAAUGGAAUUCCGGGUGGUAGCGGUGGAAUGCGUAGAGAUCCGGAAGAACACCGGUGGCGAAGGCGGUUAGCUGGGCAGUUGCUGACACUGAGGCGCGACAGCGUGGGGAGCAAACAGGG